rnacentral:rRNA from 1 species
GUUGGGAAUCGUUCGCAAUGGACGAAAGUCUGACGACGCGACGCCGCGUGCGGGAUGAAGCCCUUCGGGGUGUAAACCGCUUUUCUAGGGGAAAAAGAUCUGAUUGUACCCUAGGAAUAAGGGGUUACUAACUCUGUGCCAGCAGUAGCGGUAAUACAGAGACCUCGAGCGUUUUCCGGAAUCAUUGGGCGUAGAGCGUCCGCAAGUGGCUAUAUAAGUCGGGCUUGAAAUUCGGUGGCUCAACCACCGACAUGGGUUCGAUACUGUGUAGCUAGAGGAUUGGAGAGGCUGAUGGAACUCCCGGUGUAGCAGUGAAAUGCGUUAAUAUCGGGAAGAACACCAAUUGCGAAGGCAGUCAGCUAUUCAAUUCCUGACACGCAGGGACGAAAGCGUGGGGAGCGAACGGGAUUAGAUACCCCGGUAGUCC